CUUAGUAACGGCGAGUGAAGAGGAAGAGCUCAAAGUUGGAGCCUGUUUGGCCUAGCUAAACCGGAUUGUAGACUGUAGAAGUGUUUUCCAGGCAAGCCGAGUAAAUAAGUCCUUUGGAACAGGGCAUCAUAGAGGGUGAGAAUCCCGUCUUUGGCUUGAGCAUUUGCCUUUUGUGAUACGCUUUCAAAGAGUCAGGUUGUUUGGGAAUGCAGCCUAAAUUGGGUGGUAAAUCUCACCUAAAGCUAAAUAUUGGCGAGAAACCGAUAGCGAACAAGUACCGUGAGGGAAAGAUGAAAAGAACUUUGAAAAGAGAGUUAAACAGUAUGUGAAAUUGUUAAAAGGGAACCGUUUGGAGCCAGACUGGCUUGUCUGUAAUCAAUCUAGGCUUCGGCCUGGAUGCACUUGCAGGCUAUGCCUGCCAACGACAAUUUGACUUGAGGGAAAAAACUAGGGGAAAUGUGGCCCACUUGUGGGUGUUAUAGUCCCUUAGAAAAUACCUUGGGUUGGAUUGAGGAACGCAGCGAAUGCUUAUUGGCGAGUUUUCCAGGAAGGUUUUCUGAGGUACUACGGUAUCAAGGUUGAUCUUUUUGGUUAUACUUCUAUUCGCUUAGGUUGUUGGCUUAAUGACUCUAAAUGACCCGUCUUGAAACACGGACCAAGGAGUCCACCAUUAGUGCGAGUAUUUGGGUGCCAAACCCAUAUGCGUAAGGAAACUGAUUGAUACGAAUCCAUUAAGGAGGCAGUAUCGUCCGGCGCUGACGUUUUAUACUGAAUUGACCGAGACAAAGCACUAAUGAUGGGACCCGAAAGAUGGUGAACUAUGCCUGAAUAGGGUGAAGCCAGAGGAAACUCUGGUGGAGGCUCGUAGCGAUUCUGACGUGCAAAUCGAUCGUCAAAUUUGGGUAUAGGGGCGAAAGACUAAUCGACCAUCUAGUAGCUGGUCCUGC
rnacentral:rRNA from 1 species